GGUCCUUGACUAAAGCUCAAAUCACGUUCGUCGUAAUCAUUUAUUUAGAUAACUGAUGCAUACUUUUUGACUAACAGUAACAGAUCAAGUGGUAUUCAUAUGCAGAUUAAAUCAUAAUUACUCAAAAGACAUGCAUCUUUCAUCACCGUUCAAAAAUCAGACAUUGAAAUUAUGGUUGUCGUUUGUUGCUGGUGUUCUUGCCAAUGCGCUAUUGGGACCAUCGGAAAUAUUCUAUAUAUAUGCAAAUGAGCUUCAAGUCAUAUUUAAUAUCAAUAAGAAACAAGUUGAAAUGUUCGCGUCCAUCCAGACUAUAGGAAAUGGAAUUGGAUUCGUGUUAUGUACGUUUACAGAUUCAUUGAAUCCCAUAUGUUUCUUGGUGGUUGGUUUCGUGUUUACUCUGAUUGGGCCGACUGUAUUAUGGGUGGCGACAUUAGAUCAGCAUAUGACAAACA